UCUGAUUAUUAUUUUUUUUUUUUCUUCCGCCAAAUUUUGUUCUUGCGCAAAAUGUUUGUUUCGCAAUAUGUCGCUUAGAUAUUUCUCAUAUGGUAUCGUAUAGUUUAUGCGCUUUUAAAUUUCACCCUGCUAAGGCGAACCAUUUUCUUUGUAAGAGUUAUCUCCCUAUUCACUGUUUAUCAUCUGUGUGCAUCUCCUUCGUAACAAAAAAAGAUAGCGACAAAAUUCCUUUUACAAAUUGUUCGUUACAUCCUCAGGAAUUUUGGCUAAUUGGGAUCGAAGCGAUUCGAUGACAUUUUAUAGGAGUUAUCUACCUUUACAAAAUAAAUUUGUCGGUAUGUUUUUUAACUCAUAAACAGUCAACUGUAUAACCCUGGAAUGUUUUUAUUUGAGGCCCCUAGGUCCUAACUUACAAAAUGAGGUCAAGGUCAAAGGUCAAGGUCAAGUUCUCAAUUGUGACUUUUGCUUGUUUUUGCAUUUUCUCAGACAUUUUGAAAGAUACAUAUAAAAGAACAAGUGCAAAAUGUCUGCUUUAUUGUAAUAAAGAUAUGCUACGUUUAGUCUAAUACAAUUUAAUGGCAUCUUAUAGGAGUUGGUGCCCCUGAAAUGUCUUGAUAUGAGGUUAUUUGAUUAUAACUUUAACUAAGUUCAUUAUAAAGGCAUUUGACCUUGUACAAAAGGUAAGGUGACAAAUGACCUUGAAAAAUGACUACCGGAAGUGACCUUGAGAAAACCGGAAGUAGCCUUUUUU
rnacentral:lncRNA from 1 species